AGAGCACCAUGAGCAUGUUGUACUCAUCUAAAAUGGUGAUGCUUAUGCCCUCUGGAUUUGCUGAUUGAUGCCAUUUUCUGAAGCCUGAUCUGCUCUCUAAAUCUGGCUAUGAAUUCUCCUGCUUUCUUAUCAACCUCAUUAGGAUCAGGUUCAGCAUCAUUUCCACUGUUAGUCAUCGGAUCAGGUUCAGCAUCAUUUCCACUGUUAGUCAUAGACCCUUCAUCAGACUUGACUUCAUAAUUUUCAGCCUUACUCUCUGAUAUUUCUUUAGAUUCUACAGCAACCCUCUGACUAUGUUCUUUAUUCUUCCUCUUCUGAAACUGAGAAUGUGU
rnacentral:lncRNA from 1 species